AACCUGGUUGAUCCUGCCAGUAGUCAUAUGCUUGUCUCAAAGAUUAAGCCAUGCAUGUCUAGGUAUAAAUAGUAUACAGUGAAACUGCGAAUGGCUCAUUAAAACAGUUAUAGUUUAUUUGAUAAUCGAAAGCUACAUGGAUAACCGUGGUAAUUCUAGAGCUAAUACAUGCAGUCAGACCCGACCUUUGGAAGGGUUGUAUUUAUUAGAUAUCAAGCCAAUACUCCUUCGGGUUUAUUGUGGUGAAUCAUAGUAACUGAUCGAAUCCCUCUGGGAUAAAUCAUUCAAGUUUCUGCCCUAUCAGCUUUCGAUGGUAGUGUAUUGGACUACCAUGGCAGUCACGGGUAACGGGGAAUUAGGGUUCGAUCCCGGAGAGGGAGCCUGAGAAACGGCUACCACUUCUAAGGAAGGCAGCAGGCGCGUAAAUUACCCAAUCCCAAUUCGGGGAGGUAGUGACAAGAAAUAACAACCUGGGGGGCUCUGCCCUUACGGGAUUGUAAUGGGAACAAUGUAAAAACUUUAUCGAGGAACAAUUGGAGGGCAAGUCUGGUGCCAGCAGCCGCGGUAAUUCCAGCUCCAAUAGCGUAUAUUAAAGUUGUUGCAGUUAAAAAGCUCGUAGUUGAAUUUCUGCACGUGCCCGGUUGUGGCUUCGGUCAGGCCGUGGCGCGUGCAUCCGUCUGCAAACCUAGACCGGCCUUCACUGGUCGACUAGGGGAGUAGACCUUUUACCUUG
rnacentral:rRNA from 1 species